rnacentral:rRNA from 1 species
AAAGGUAGAGUAAUCAUUUGUCUAUUAAUUGUAGACUAGUAUGAAAGGCCACAUGAGAGCCAAACUGUCUCUUAUAAUAAAUCAAUUAAACUGAUCUCCUAGUACAAAAGCUAGAAUAACUAUAUAAGACCAGAAGACCCUGUGAAGCUUAAACUAAACUAUUAAACCAACUAAUAGCUACUUUCGGUUGGGGCGACCUUGGAACAAAACCAAACUUCCAAACAAAAUGAGCUAUACCUCAUAACCAUAGGCCAACAAGCCAACCAACGACCCAGUAUAACUGAUCAUUGGACCAAGUUACUCCAGGGAUAACAGCGCUAUCUUCUUCAAGAGCCCAUAUCAAAAAGAAGGUUUACGACCUCGAUGUUGGAUCAGGACACCCAAAUGGUGUAGCCGCUAUUAAUGGUUCGUUUGUUCAACGAUUAACAGU